AGUGAACGCUGGCGGUAGGCCUAACACAUGCAAGUCGAACGGCAGCACAGUAAGAGCUUGCUCUUACGGGUGGCGCGUGGCGGACGGGUGCGGAAUACAUCGGAAUCUACUUUUUCGCGGGGGAUAACGUAGGGAAACUUACGCUAAUACCGCAUACGACCUACGGGUGAAAGCAGGGGAUCUUCGGACCUUGCGCGAUUGAAUGAGCCGAUGUAGGAUUAGCUAGUUUGCGGGGUAAAGGCCAACCAAGGCGACGAUCCGUAGCUGGUCUGAGAGGAUGUUCAGCCACACUGGAAGUGAGACACGGCCCAGACUCCUACGGGAGGCAGCAGUGGGGAAUAUUGGACAAGGGGGGCAAGCCGGAUCCAGGCAUACCGCGUGGGUGAAGAAGUCCUUCGGGUUGGAAAGCCCUUUUGUUGGGAAAGAAAAGCAGCAGGUUAAUACCCCGCUGUUCUGACGGUACCCAAAGAAUAAGCACCGGCUAACUUCGUG
rnacentral:rRNA from 1 species